UACAGAGGUCUCAAGCGUUGUUCGGAUUCAUUGGGCGUAAAGGGCGCGUAGGCGGCGAGGUAAGUCGGGUGUGAAAUCUCAGAGCUCAACUCUGAAACUGCACUCGAUACUGCUUUGCUAGAGGACUGGAGAGGAGAUUGGAAUUCACGGUGUAGCAGUGAAAUGCGUAGAUAUCGUGAGGAAGACCAGUGGCGAAGGCGGAUCUCUGGAGAGUUCCUGACGCUGAGGCACGAAGGCCAGGGGAGCAAACGGG
rnacentral:rRNA from 1 species